GACGAACGCUGGCGGCGUGCUUAACACAUGCAAGUCGAGCGGUAAGGCCCUUUCGGGGGUACGACGAGCGGCGAACGGGUGAGUAACACGUGGGUGACCUGCCCUCAGCUCUGGGAUAAGCCCGGGAAACUGGGUCUAAUACCGGAUAUGACUCCAUGACGCAUGUUGUGGGGUGGAAAGCCUUGUGCGGCUGAGGAUGGGCCCGCGGCCUAUCAGCUUGUUGGUGGGGUGAUGGCCUACCAAGGCGACGACGGGUAGCCGGCCUGAGAGGGCGACCGGCCACACUGGGACUGAGACACGGCCCAGACUCCUACGGGAGGCAGCAGUGGGGAAUCUUGCGCAAUGGGCGAAAGCCUGACGCAGCGACGCCGCGUGAGGGAUGACGGCCU
rnacentral:rRNA from 1 species